AGCGAACGCUGGCGGCAGGCCUAACACAUGCAAGUCGAACGGUCCUUCGGGACAGUGGCGGACGGGUGAGUAACACGUGGGAACGUGCCCUUAGGUUCGGAACAACUCAGGGAAACUUGAGCUAAUACCGAAUGUGCCCUACGGGGGAAAGAUUUAUCGCCUUUGGAGCGGCCCGCGUCUGAUUAGCUAGUUGGUGAGGUAAAGGCUCACCAAGGCGACGGUCAGUAGCUGGUCUGAGAGGAUGAUCAGCCACACUGGGACUGAGACACGGCCCAGACUCCUACGGGAGGCAGCAGUGGGGAAUCUUGCGCAAUGGGCGAAAGCCUGACGCAGCCAUGCCGCGUGAAUGAUGUAGGUCUUAGGAUUGUAAAAUUCUUUCACCGGGGAAGAUAAUGACGGUACCCGGAGAAGAAGCCCCGGCUAACUUCGUGCCAGCAGCCGCGGUAAUACGAAGGGGGCUAGCGUUGCUCGGAAUUACUGGGCGUAAAGGGCGCGUAGGCGGACAGUUUAGUC
rnacentral:rRNA from 1 species